rnacentral:rRNA from 1 species
UGGGGAAUAUUGCACAAUGGGCGAAAGCCUGAUGCAGCAACGCCGCGUGAGUGAUGAAGGCCUUCGGGUUGUAAAGCUCUGUCUUUUGGGACGAUAAUGACGGUACCAAAGGAGGAAGCCACGGCUAACUACGUGCCAGCAGCCGCGGUAAUACGUAGGUGGCAAGCGUUGUCCGGAUUUACUGGGCGUAAAAGGAUGCGUAGGCGGAUUUUUAAGUGAGAUGUGAAAUACCCGGGCUUAACUUGGGUGCUGCAUUUCAAACUGGGAAUCUAGAGUGCGGGAGAGGAGAAUGGAAUUCCUAGUGUAGCGGUGAAAAUGCGUAGAGAUUAGGAAGAACACCAGUGGCGAAAGGCGAUUCUCUGGACCGUAAACUGACGCUGAGGCAUGAAAAGCGUGGGUAGCAAAACAGGAUUAGAUACCCUGGUAGUCCACGCCGUAAAACGAUGAGUACUAGGUGUAGGAGGUAUCGACCCCUUCUGUGCCGCAGUUAAAC